rnacentral:rRNA from 1 species
UACGUAGGGUGCGAGCGUUGUCCGGAAUUAUUGGGCGUAAAUGGCUCGUAGGCGGUCUGUCGCGUCGGGAGUGAAAACUCAGGGCUUAACCCUGAGCCUGCUUCCGAUACGGGCAGACUAGAGGUAUGCAGGGGAGAACGGAAUUCCUGGUGUAGCGGUGGAAUGCGCAGAUAUCAGGAGGAACACCGGUGGCGAAGGCGGUUCUCUGGGCAUUACCUGACGCUGAGGAGCGAAAGUGUGGGGAGCGAACAGG